rnacentral:lncRNA from 1 species
AUGGUUAUGGAUACUCGAAAUUUUACCGGAAUGAAUUUACUCGAUGCCAAUGCACGGAUAUGGAUAUUGAAAAUAAAAAUUCGAUGGAUACGAAUUUUGAGCGAACCCAACCCGAAUCCGAACCUUAAUCGAACCCAAAUUUGUUUUUUAUUAUAUAUAAUAUUUAUAUAAAUAUUUGAUGUUAUAUUUAAAUUUGUAUUUUAAAAUUUAGAUUUAAUAUAACAUAUUUUGAAAUAUUAAAAAGAGAAAUAAUUGUUUCGGAUUUGGGUCCGGGUUCAGGUUUCGAAGUUUUUGUCGAAUUCGGAUUUAGAUUUCAGGUUUGGAGUCGAAUUCGGGUUCGAAUUUUUAAAAAUCCACUCUGAAUCCGGCCGAUGAUAUCCUUAUAUAGUACGGAAUUAAACAAAAAUGCUUCUAAUAGCACAAGUCAUUGAUUUUGUAGGAUUUUCAUCUUUAAAUCAAAAUUUGUAGGAUUGAAAUAAUAAUAAUCCCCCUAAAAUUUAGUAGGUGAUGAUGAAAUAGUAUAAUCGA